rnacentral:rRNA from 1 species
GAUGAACGCUGGCGGCGUGCCUAAUACAUGCAAGUCGAGCGAACGGACGAGAAGCUUGCUUCUCUGAUGUUAGCGGCGGACGGGUGAGUAACACGUGGAUAACCUACCUAUAAGACUGGGAUAACUUCGGGAAACCGUAGCUAAUACCGGAUAAUAUUUUGAACCGCAUGGUUCAAAAGUGAAAGACGGUCUUGCUGUCACUUAUAGAUGGAUCCGCGCUGCAUUAGCUAGUUGGUAAGGUAACGGCUUACCAAGGCAACGAUGCAUACCCGACCUGAGAGGGUGAUCGGCCACACUGGAACUGAGACACGGUCCAGACUCCUACGGGAGGCAGCAGUAGGGAAUCUUCCGCAAUGGGCGAAAGCCUGACGGAGCAACGCCGCGUGAGUGAUGAAGGUCUUCGGAUCGUAAAACUCUGUUAUUAGGGAAGAACAUAUGUGUAAGUAACUGUGCACAUCUUGACGGUACCUAAUCAGAAAGCCACGGCUAACUACGUG